rnacentral:lncRNA from 1 species
GCGAAUAAAGCAAACAAUCUCUCCAAUUUAGUCGGGAUUCGCUGGCCAGUAGUUCCUUCAUCAACCCGGACUUGUCUCCAUGGCCCUAUAAAACCUGGUCGCCAAUAUCCCUAGAUCCAUCAACUCGGUAGAUGCCCUGUUGCAGUUUGGGCUGAGAGCACCUCUUCGCCAUUGAUGAGGGAGAGAGAUCGCAGGGAGUCGCCGUAGAGGGAGGUCACGGUAAAUUGGUGUCGAGGCUCUGUGGGACCUGAGGGAGUUCGUCGGGGUGCGCGGACGUCGACUUGCGUCCAUUGCUCGCUCGGCCAACGACAAGCCAUCGAGGAGAUAGAGAAGAAAGAAGAGGAGGUAGAAUACAGUCAUAUUUGUAUCUUAUAUAUUAUCUUUAUACCCAUAAACCCUAUGAUUUUCUUCGGUGGUCUCGAUCCAACCAAUCAAAUCGUGUCACAACAUAUAUUUUGUGCAGUCCUACUAAUUAUUAAAAAUACGAUAUCUUUUGGGUCAAAUAAUUUAUUUUAAUUUAUUCAAAUUGUGUUAGGUUUGUAUUAAUUUUGUGUACGUAUUAAUAGCAUUGUUUUAAUCGUACCACAUAUUUUAAAUAAUUAAUUAAUUAGCUAUUUGUUUAAUUAAUAUUAGCUACACAAUCUAGUUAAUCUAAUUUAUAGUUGUAACUUACUCUUUUUAUAAAUAAUUGUUAAAAGUGAUUAACAUUGAUUAAAAUAUUUUAAUUUAAUACUUGCUUAGUUUAAAUGCAAUAUUUGUUAGAUCUCAUCUACUAAAUUUAUUGCACCUAAAAUAUCGUUUUAUCCAUAACUUCCUCGUUUUAAUUCCGAUUUGGUCCGUUCAAGUCGCGUUAGCUUCAUAUGAAUAUUUACUAUACAAUAACAACAUUUAUUGUACAAUGUUUCAUUCUUUUAUAAUUAGAUCUUUAUUUAACUUAUAUUAGUUAGUCUUGUUAAUCUGCCUAUCAUUAUAAUCUACUAAAAUAUGAUCUAUGGUCAAUUUAUAAUUUAGAUUAAAGUUGAAUUAAUUACUACUUUAGAUUAUCUUUUCUCUUGAUUUAUAAAAUAAACAUAAAACCUAGUUUUAAUCAUUUAAUCACAUCAUAACUUCAUAACCGUAACUCUGAAUUUAGCGGUUCUCGAACCCACGAUCUCGUUACGACGCGUAGAUCAUUAUUAUUCAGUUUGUACUUAUGUUUGAUGUAAUGUUAAUUUUGCCUAUGCCACGUUUGUUUGUAUUGCUACGACUAGCAGUGAGGACACAUGUCAUCU